CUCGUUUCCUGGUAGGAGAAGGUGCAGGCGGAGGCGGGGCCUCCCGUGAUACAGGUGGCAGCUCUCGUCCCCUGAGAGCGGGCGAAGGCCAGGGUCCCACACUCGCAGCGCUGCGACGGCGCUCGGGACCUCCCUCGUCCACUGCUUGAGUUCCAGAGGUGGGUGCUUCCCUGUCCUGAACUUCAGAGUGCGGAGUCAUAAAUGGGUUCCGGCUGGCUUACUGCAGUAGCCUCGCUCCUCCCCAGCCCCGGUAACUCCGAGCUACCCGUCCAGGCCCUCGGGCGUCGCGGGGGCAGGGACUGGGCGCGGAACGAGGCAGGGAGGGACCUGGAAAAACCACCCAGAUUGCAUUGCAGUGGGCGAGGCCGCCUGGAGGAGCCGGUUCCCCCUAACCACCUCCCCGUGGGGCUCUCGGUGCGCGGUUCCCAGGUGCUCAGCUCUGCUGGGCCCAGGAGGUGCCGCCUCACAGGGACGCGGAACCCCGUGCGUGGCCCCCGCCGGGUGGAACAGAUAGCGCGGGGCGGUCCGGAGGCUCGUCGCCAAGCAGCGCCAGAGACCCAAGUUGAGGAACAGCCUAUAAAAUAACUGGCCUGUACUCUUACAUACAUGAAAGCCAUCAAAGACAAAGACUGAAGAAGAACUUUUGCAGAUUAAAGGACUUUAAGAGACAUGAUCCUGAACCAGAAAAAGUAAAAAAUAAAAAAAUAAAAAGAUCUGUAGAUUAGAUAAUAGUUUUAUAUCCAUGUUAAUUUCCCAUUUGUUGUAAUAUUACUGUGGUUGGGCAAGAGAGUGUCUUUGUUGGUGGAAGUAUCUACUGAAGUAUUUAGGGGUAAAGAGGAAUCAUGUCUGUAACUUAUGCUCAAAAGGUUCAGACAAAAUAUAUGUAAAGGGAAUGAUAAAGCAAACGCAAUAAAAUGUUAACAUUGGGGAAUCUGUAUAAGGGAAUUAUUAACUUUUCUGUAAGUCUAAAAUUAUUUCAAAUUAAAAAUAAUUUUUUUAAGCCUCAGAGGACAUUUUGCUGCCACCGCCUUGCUGGUGGUUGACAAGGCUCUGUGUCAUGACUUUUUUUUCUGCUAAUCUAACUACUUGUACUGUAAAAUAA
rnacentral:lncRNA from 1 species